rnacentral:rRNA from 1 species
GACGAACGCUGGCGGCGUGCUUAACACAUGCAAGUCGAACGGAAAGGCCCUGCUUGUGUGGGGUGCUCGAGUGGCGAACGGGUGAGUAACACGUGAGUAACCUGCCCUUGACUUUGGGAUAACUUCAGGAAACUGGGGCUAAUACCGGAUAGGAGCUCCUGCUGCAGGGUGGGGGUUGGAAAGUUUAGGCGGUUGGGGAUGGACUCGGGGCUUAUCAGCUUGUUGGUGGGGUAGUGGCUUACCAAGGCUUUGACGGGUGGCCGGCCUGAGAGGGUGACCGGCGUCAUUGGGACUGAGAUACGGCCCAGACUGCUACGGGAGGCAGCGGUGGGGAAUAUUGCCCAGUGGGCGGAAGCCUGAUGCAGCAGCCCCGCGUGCGGGAUGACGGCCUUCGGGUUGUAAACCGCUUUCGCCUGUGACGAAGCGUGAGUGACGGUAAUGGGUAAAGAAGCACCGGCUAACUACGUG